rnacentral:rRNA from 1 species
UUUUUGAGUCCUGUCUACGACAGCAUAAGAAUUUUAACUAACAAUUUCACAGUGAACCUGCGGAAGGAUCAUUACUGAGUGUUAGAGUUGGUCUUCGGACUGCUCAACCUCCCACACUUUGUUUAUCAUACCUCUGUUGCUUCGGCGGAUCGUCAGUAUUUUCUGCCUCUGGUUUAAUUACUAGAGAGUUAUCUGCCGAAGAUAUUUUAAAUCUUGAUUUUAAAUUGUCUGAUUUAAAAAUUCAAAAGUUAAAACUUUCAACAACGGAUCUCUUGGUUCUGGCAUCGAUGAAGAACGCAGCGAAAUGCGAUAAGUAAUGUGAAUUGCAGAAUUCAGUGAAUCAUCGAAUCUUUGAACGCACAUUGCACCUUUUGGUAUUCCGAAAGGUAUACUUGUUCGAGCGCCGUUUCAAUCCUCAAGCUUUGCUUGGUGUUGGAUAUCUUCUAUGGAAGAUUCUGAAACAAUUUGGCGUCAUCAGUCAAGUCAUAGCGUGACAAAUCUCGCUAAAUGAUUAGACCGGAAGAUAGCCUAUCCAUUCUAUCUUGAAUGAUGGCCUCGGAUCAAGUAAGGUUACCCGCUGAACUUAAGCAUAUCAAUAAGCGGAGGAAAAGAAACCAACAGGGAUUGCCUCAGUAACGGCGAGUGAAGCGGCAUCAGCUCAAAUUUGAAAUCUGACUUCGGUCCGAAUUGUAAUUUGAAGAGGAAAGUUCGGUUGAGAUUAGGGCCUGAGUCUUCUGGAAAGAAGCGCCAUAGAGGGUGAGAGCCCCGUUCGGUCUAUUAUCAAUACCAUGUGAACUUCCUUCGACGAGUCGAGUUGUUUGGGAAUGCAGCUCAAAAUGGGUGGUAAAUUCCAUCUAAAGCUAAAUAUUGGCCAGAGACCGAUAGCGCACAAGUAGAGUGAUCGAAAGAUGAAAAGCACUUUGGAAAGAGAGUCAAAAAGUACGUGAAAUUGUUGAAAGGGAAGCGCUCGCAACCAGACUCGUUUUCAGGAGUUCAAUUGACUUCGGUCAGUGCAUUCUUCUGUUUCGGGCCAGCAUGAAUUUCGAGAGUUGGAUAAAAACAGUUGGAACGUAGCUCUUCGGAGUAUUAUAGCCUUCUGUGCAAUACUUCUACUCGGGAUUGAGGACAGCGAU